rnacentral:rRNA from 1 species
GAGCGGUAGCACAGGGGAGCUUGCUCCCCGGGUGACGAGCGGCGGACGGGUGAGUAAUGUCUGGGAAACUGCCUGAUGGAGGGGGAUAACUACUGGAAACGGUAGCUAAUACCGCAUAACGUCGCAAGACCAAAGAGGGGGACCUUCGGGCCUCUUGCCAUCAGAUGUGCCCAGAUGGGAUUAGCUAGUAGGUGGGGUAAUGGCUCACCUAGGCGACGAUCCCUAGCUGGUCUGAGAGGAUGACCAGCCACACUGGAACUGAGACACGGUCCAGACUCCUACGGGAGGCAGCAGUGGGGAAUAUUGCACAAUGGGCGCAAGCCUGAUGCAGCCAUGCCGCGUGUGUGAAGAAGGCCUUCGGGUUGUAAAGCACUUUCAGCGAGGAGGAAGGUGGUGAGCUUAAUACGCUCAUCAAUUGACGUUACUCGCAGAAGAAGCACCGGCUAACUCCGUGCCAGCAGCCGCGGUAAUACGGAGGGUGCAAGCGUUAAUCGGAAUUACUGGGCGUAAAGCGCA